UAAAAGAUCGAGACGCUUGACGAUCUAGUACUAGUAGAAAACAUCGGGAAACCCCCUCCCCGUGUCGCUCCAACCACCCCAAGGGCCGCCACUCCCACCGUACCGCGGCAAUGCCGACGCCGCGAAACCGGAAGGUCCCUGCCCCUGCCCCGCCGCGCCGGCCGCCUCCCCGCCUGGAGUACCGCGCAAAGGACGGCGCGUGGUACGGCGCGCGCAUGGCGCUGCAGGGCGACUCGCUGCGCGUCAUGUUCGAGGAAUUCCGCGAGGAGUUCGACGAGUGGCACGACCCAGACGCGGGCGACCUCGCCUCCCCGGGCGACGUGGCCGCGCUCCGCGCCAGGUUCCGCCCGGCGAGCCCGCCCCUCGAGGACGCCCGCUGCGGCGACCUCCGCCGCGGCCAGCCGCUCUGCGUCCUCCGCGCCAUGCCCGACGGCGAGCGCAAGUACUACGACGCCGUCCUCGAUUCCGUGAAAAGAGCGGCUCACGUCACCGUGGGCGGCGAGGAGCGGUGCGCGUGCCGCUUCACGGUGCGGUGGACGGACGGGCCGUUCCGCGGCGGCUCCGACGAAGUCGGCGUCGACGAGGUCUGCUGCGUGCGGGACUCGCCGGUCAACGACCCGGUGCUGAGCGAGUUCCUGGACCGCGUGACGAGGUCGUUCGGCUUCUGCGACGGCGAGGAGAACGCGAAGGCGGCGCAGGACUCGCCGGUCCAGGACCCGCGGCUGAACGGGUUCCUGGACCGCGUGACGAAGUCCUUCGGCUUCUGCAACGGCGAGGAGAAACCGAAGGCGGCGGCGUCUCAGGGUACCGGGGCCACGCCGGCCCCGGGCAGCGAGCAGAGCGCGACGGCGGCGCCUCAGGCGAGCGGGGCCACGUCGCUCUGGGGCGGCGAGGGGGGGACUGCCUUCAUAAUCAUCGACUAGGUGUCGCGGCCUGCACUGCAUUCCUGCGCUUCUGUUUCGAUGUAUCCAUGUGCCUGCCCUGCUCGACGAUUGAUCAGGGCGCUUUGAUGGCCGUUUGACUUCUUCAAAAUCUUCGUCAUCUUGGUUGUUAGUCUUCCAUGUUCACAAGCAAAGAAGGUUAUGAAAUCGUACCAAGCAUUUCAUAGGGUAUCAAACUGCCAGAAAUAACAUAAACAUACGACAAUGCAUUUUUUUGUGGAUAGGGGCCGGUGGGGACGAGGAUUAUAACUGGUCAAAGUUUAUAUUUCAACCUUCGAUUUACGGUCCCUAGCAUUUUUUUACCCUCUUGAGCUAAUGCUUCACCCAUGGCUUGGUUUUCCCACAUUUACCCAGAGUCUGUUGUUCCAUAAGUGAUAAAAUCAAACAUUUGUAUGAGAAAAUAAACAAAAAUCAUCGACAGGACCGUUCAAAGUAAAUUAUGUCUGAGGAAACAGAUAAUAAACGAACUCCAACACGGGAGGAGCCAUGUAGAUUUUAAUUAAGGAAAACUUACUGCAUGAUACUAGAAUUAGCUCAGGGGUUGAACUUUGGAACAUGGGUCCAUGCACACCCCUUAUGAACAGUAAAAUCAGAAAAAAAUAGAGUGUGAGUGUGGAGUGUGGACCCAUGUUCUGUCAAUGUGUGAAGUUUCGCGAAGAAAUGACACGGUAUUCUGGGCAAAAAAGGCAAAGUCAGCGCUUAAAAAAACAUGUUUGAAGUAAUUUGGAUGUCCGAUUUUUUUAAUUUUAUUUUUGCCAAGAGUACAACUGAUGUCAUUUCUUUGCAAAACUUCACAUGUGAGUAGAACAGUUAACCUAAAAUUUUAGAAUUUUUUAUUUUAGAACUAUUUUUAAAAUUUUACUUUUCACAAGGGGUGCAUGGACCCAUGUUAACCAUUCUAUUUCAAAAUUUUAGAAUGAAGUAUAUUGGAGUAAGUAACGGGGGACAGAAAUAUGUAAAGCAUCUAUAAUAGUAUCAAAAUGCUAUCGAUCUAUGCGGAUGAUGUCGUUCUCCCACAUGGAUCUGGCAUUUGUCAAGGAAGUAAUGCACAUCUUUGGAGAGG